rnacentral:misc_RNA from 1 species
CCGAGUUUACAACUCCCAAACCCAUGUGAACCUUACCUUUAGUUGCUUCGGCAGGAUCGCCCCAGGCGCCUCGGUGCCCUGGAAUCUGCGCCUGCCGAGGGACCCAAACUCUUGUUUUUUAUGGUAUUCUCUGAUUUAAAUUUAUUAAAUAAAUAA